rnacentral:rRNA from 1 species
AUUGAACGCUGGCGGCAGGCUUAACACAUGCAAGUCGAGCGGGGGGAGGUAGCUUGCUACUGGACCUAGCGGCGGACGGAUGAGUAAUGCUUAGGAAUCUGCCUAUUAGUGGGGGACAACAUCUCGAAAGGGAUGCUAAUACCGCAUACGUCCUACGGGAGAAAGCAGGGGAUCUUCGGACCUUGCGCUAAUAGAUGAGCCUAAGUCGGAUUAGCUAGUUGGUGGGGUAAAGGCCUACCAAGGCGACGAUCUGUAGCGGGUCUGAGAGGAUGAUCCGCCCCACUGGGACUGAGACACGGCCCAGACUCCUACGGGAGGCAGCAGUGGGGAAUAUUGGACAAUGGGGGGAACCCUGAUCCAGCCAUGCCGCGUGUGUGAAGAAGGCCUUAUGGUUGUAAAGCACUUUAAGCGAGGAGGAGGCUACUCUAGUUAAUACCUAGGGAUAGUGGACGUUACUCGCAGAAUAAGCACCGGCUAACUCUGUGCCAGCAGCCGCCGCCG